rnacentral:rRNA from 1 species
UACGGAGGAUCCGAGCGUUAUCCAGAUUUAUUGGGUUUAAAGGGUGCGCAGGCGGGGGAUUAAGUCGGCGGUGAAAUUUUGCAGCUCAACUGUAAAAGUGCCUUCGAAACUGGUUUCCUUGAGUGUAGAUGAAGUAGGCGGAAUUUGUGGUGUAGCGGUGAAAUGCAUAGAUAUCACGAGGAACUCCGAUUGCGCAGGCAGCUUACUAAACUACUACUGACGCUCAGGCACGAAGGCGUGGGGAUCAAACAGGAUUAGAUACCCCUGUAGU